AACGAACGCUGGCGGCAUGCCUAACACAUGCAAGUCGAACGAGACCUUCGGGUCUAGUGGCGCACGGGUUCGUAACGCGUGGGAACCUGCCCUUAGGUUCGGAAUAACUCCCCGAAAGGGGUGCUAAUACCGGAUAAUGUCUUCGGACCAAAGAUUUAUUGCCUUUGGAUGUGCCCGCGUUGGAUUAGCUAGUUGGUAGGGUAAAAGCCUACCAAGGCGACGAUCCAUAGCUGGUCUGAGAGGAUGAUCAGCCACACUGGGACUGAGACACGGCCCAGACUCCUACGGGAGGCAGCAGUGGGGAAUAUUGGACAAUGGGCGAAAGACUGAUCCAGCAAGGCCGCGUGAGUGAUGAAGGCCUUAGGGUUGUAAAGCUCUUUUACACGGGAUGAUAAUGACAGUACCGGGAGAAUAAGCGCCGGCUAACUCCGUG
rnacentral:rRNA from 1 species